rnacentral:rRNA from 1 species
UACGUAGGGUGCGAGCGUUAAUCGGAAUUACUGGGCGUAAAGCGUGCGCAGGCGGUUUUGUAAGACAGGCGUGAAAGCCCCGGGCUCAACCUGGGAAUGGCGCUUGUGACUGCAAAGCUGGAGUGCGGCAGAGGGGGAUGGAAUUCCGCGUGUAGCAGUGAAAUGCGUAGAUAUGCGGAGGAACACCGAUGGCGAAGGCAAGCCCCUGGGCCUGCACUGACGCUCAUGCACGAAAGCGUGGGGAGCAAACAGG